AUGUCUGGGCUCAAGAUCAACUUCCAAAAAAGUGAAAUCCUGUGUGUAGGGGGGGAUGAUGAUACUCUUAAAACAUAUGCUGAAAUGUUUGAUUGCCAAAUAGGGCACUUUCCCAUGAAAUAUUUGGGAGUGCCAGUGACCUUUUCCUCCUUGCGAGUUGCUGACUGGGAUUUUCUGGAAUCCAGAUACAUCCAAAAGUGUGACUCUGGAUUGGGGGGAAAUGCUUCCUCCGGAGGACGCCUGACAUUACUAAAUGCUAACAUUUCUAGCAUUGCAUUUUAUUAUAUGGCCAUGUUUUUUCUUUCCAAAACUAUACUUGCUAGGAUUGACAAGUGUAGAAGGAGAUUUUUCUGGCACGUGACCCAGAAUAAAAGGCGAUAUUAUCUUGUCAAGUGGACUAGAAUAUGCAGAUCUAAGAGUGGAGGGCUGGGUGUAAAAGAUUUACACAAACAGAACCUUAGUUUACUUACUAAAUGGUGGUGGAAACUAGAAACUAAAUCUGGCCUGUGGCAAGAUAUUGUGAAAGCUAAGUAUUUUAAUAGGGCCACAGUGGCUAGUAUUAAAAUAAAAAGCAAUGAUUCUCCAUGUUGGAAGGCCAUUAUGAAGGUAAAACAUAUUUAUAUGGCAGGGAGAAGAGUGGUCAUACAGUCUGGUGAUGUUGCUAGGCUGUGGAUUGACCCCAUUGGGAACAACACCCCUCUGGCGGAACAAUUUCCUCGUUUAUUCUCCAUCUGCAAUUUCCCUGAGUGCACAGUGGCCCAGUGCCUAAAUGCUGAUCCCUCCUCUUUCUUUAGAAGGAGAUUGAAUAGUGAACUCAAUGAUCAA
rnacentral:rRNA from 1 species